rnacentral:rRNA from 1 species
AGUGAACGUUGGCGGCGUGGAUUAGGCAUGCAAGUCGAGCGAUCGUAGCAAUACGGGAGCGGCAAACGGGGUAGGAAUACAUCGGAACGUACCUUUUGGUUGAGAAUAGCGUUGGGAAACUGACGGUAAUACUCAAUAAAGUCGAGAGACCAAAGGUUUACUGCCGGAAGAGCGGCCGAUGCGAUAUUAGGUAGUUGGUGGGGUAAUGGCCUACCAAGCCUGAGAUGUCUAGGGGGUGUGAGAGCAUGGCCCCACCACUGGGACUGAGAUACUGCCCAGACACCUACGGGUGGCUGCAGUCGAGGAUCUUCGUCAAUGGGCGAAAGCCUGAACGAGCGACGCCGCGUGCGGGAUGAAGGCCCUUGGGUUGUAAACCGCUGUCAGGGGGGAUGAAACCGUAAGGUUGACAGAGCCCCAGAGGAAGCACGGGCUAAGUCGUGCCAGCAGCCGCGGUAAU